GCUGCUUUCUCUAGGUAAAGCAAUGAGUCUGCUUACAGCCACCUGGCAAAUGUCACCUGCUCCAGGAAGCCUUCCCUGAUGGCCCGAGUCCUCCCCCACCUCCCGCUCUGCCCUUUGGCCAUGGCAACAACCAGAAAGAUGACACGCAGCC